CCGCGUGGCACAAUUGGCUAGCGCGUGAGACUUUUAGAGCCUGGUUUCCAAAAACAUCUCAAGGUUGAGAGUUCGAGCCUCGUAAGUUGA